rnacentral:lncRNA from 1 species
UGGUUGUAUUCAGGAGUAUAGGAAAUUAUUCAGGGUUACAUUUUAAUUUUCGAAAUAUUUUUUGAAAUUUUUGUAUUCAGAUAUUUAUGAGGUAUAUAUACGAUAUACACUGCAAACAUGAUAGUUUUAAUUCAUUAAAGAUGCUUGUUCCGAUUCUACACUAUAAGGGUGGAAAAUUACCUUUAUCGAAUUGAAAAAUAAGUU